UACGAAGGGGGCUAGCGUUGCUCGGAAUCACUGGGCGUAAAGCGCACGUAGGCGGAUUGUUAAGUCAGGGGUGAAAUCCUGGAGCUCAACUCCAGAACUGCCUUUGAUACUGGCGAUCUUGAGUCCGGGAGAGGUCGAGUGGAACUGCGAGUGUAGAGGUGAAAUUCGUAGAUAUUCGCAAGAACACCAGUGGCGAAGGCGGCUCACUGGCCCGGUACUGACGCUGAGGUGCGAAAGCGUGGGGAGCAAACAGG
rnacentral:rRNA from 1 species